rnacentral:rRNA from 1 species
GAUGAACGCUGGCGGCGUGCUUAACACAUGCAAGUCGAACGAUGAAGCCCAGCUUGCUGGGUGGAUUAGUGGCGAACGGGUGAGUAACACGUGAGUAACCUGCCCUUGACUCUGGGAUAAGCCUGGGAAACUGGGUCUAAUACUGGAUAUGACUUCUCAUCGCAUGGUGGGGGGUGGAAAGAUUUAUCGGUCUUGGAUGGACUCGCGGCCUAUCAGCUUGUUGGUGAGGUAAUGGCUCACCAAGGCGACGACGGGUAGCCGGCCUGAGAGGGUGACCGGCCACACUGGGACUGAGACACGGCCCAGACUCCUACGGGAGGCAGCAGUGGGGAAUAUUGCACAAUGGGCGCAAGCCUGAUGCAGCGACGCCGCGUGAGGGAUGACGGCCUUCGGGUUGUAAACCUCUUUCAGUAGGGAAGAAGCGAGAGUGACGGUACCUGCAGAAGAAGCGCCGGCUAACUACGUG